rnacentral:rRNA from 1 species
AUGCUGACGAGCGGCGGACGGGUGAGUAACGCGUAGGAAUCUACCCAGUAGCGGGGGAUAGCUUGGGGAAACUCGGAUUAAUACCGCAUACGCCCUAAGGGGGAAAGGCCGGGAUCUUCGGACCGGUCGCUAUUGGAUGAGCCUGCGUUAGAUUAGCUAGUUGGUAGGGUAAAGGCCUACCAAGGCGACGAUCUAUAGCUGGUCUGAGAGGAUGAUCAGCCACACUGGGACUGAGACACGGCCCAGACUCC